rnacentral:misc_RNA from 1 species
UCUAGAUUCUGCGUUAUUCCUCGGUUAAUAUAAGAGUGCUUCAGUUUAGCACCUUAGUUUUGUGAAGUACAUAGAAGUGUGAAACAGAGUUAGCAGACAUGUUGAGGUCUACCAUGGAAUUACGUUCUCCAAGAAACACUAUAUUUCUAUCAGUAUGGGUCUAAGUGUUGUGCCUAUCUGGUGCUAGGCACGAGUACAUAAAGGUGAGUUUUGAUAGUAUAAUUGCACUAGAUAAGGGUGAGGAUACCUGUAACACCCCUAUUGGUAUAGCCUGGUAUAUUUCACUGU